rnacentral:lncRNA from 1 species
GCGCUGCCCGCCCCGCUGCUGACGGGUUGGUGUGUCACGUUGUGGGUUGAGUUCGCUCAGGCGUUCGCUGUGAAUGUUCCCUGCCGUGCGCGGCGGCCGGGCUACGGUAGCCGCCACGGCUUUUCUGUCGUGAGGGGCAUUGCCCCCAUCCAUCAGGUAGCCCUGCUGCUGAGGAGCUGGCGGGGACCCCGAGUCAUUGUGGUAAAGAUACAUGAAGAGGGAAGUCCCGCUUCUGCUGCUGCUGUUGAGAAAAGUAACGCUCUGGGAGGCAGAGUCGGAGCCGGUAGCAUUCCUGCACCGCUCCGUGGGCUCUGCUGGUCGCUUCUCCCUGCCGGCCCUCGGCGUGCCUGGCCAGAUUUCUGAACUUAAAGGGAAGAUAUUUAGAUCACUCAGUUUAACGCUACUGGCUACCUGUCUAGAACAAGCCACACAGCAUCAGUUCACUGGGAUUAGAACUACUCUGAAUAACAUGCUUUGGUCCAGCAUGAAGGAAGACAAUCUUAAUGAGUUAAGAGGCUCUUAAAGCAGACCACAGGAAUUUCAAGAGUGAAGCUGAAUGAAACCAUGGAAAUUAAUCAGGUGGAAGUCAAUCAUCGCAGCCUUAAGACAGAAUUUGUCAGAGCACACAGCCAUUGGAGACUGGAGGAAGGCAGUGAUGUGGCCUGCCUCAGACUCUGUCUACCUCGAGGCUCUUCAGGAUCAAAAGACAAGGUGUAAAACCUUUGUAUACAAUUACACUCCAGGAUGCAUUUCAAGGGCGAGGGCAAAAGCUGGUGCAAAUUUGUGAAACAGAUGACCUGCAUAUCCCUUCUCUCAUGACUCUUCCAACUGUCACACCCACAUUAAAAACAAUAGUCAAUACAAAUCAAUAAAAUAAUACAAUGAAUAGCAGCACGUUCCUUGUUUUCAAGUGCCACUCUGCUAGAACAACGUGUAAUAUAAAUGACGAAAACCAAUACUAAUAUCAGACUGACCUACACAGAAUGGAGUAGUUAUCUCUUGUUCCACGAAUGUAUUGGCUUAUGCAACUCCCAUACUUGAAAAAUAAAAUCUGCAGCAUAAGACCAC